rnacentral:misc_RNA from 1 species
GUACUGAAAGUACUUGUUGCGCUGUUUAUAGCAACUUGAGUAUAACGCACAUUUUGAAUAACUGUUGUUGACAUUGUAUCGCCAUUGUGAUUUCAGUGCUCUCAGACAUUUUGAGAAAUAAAGGACAGGCCAUUCAGAUGGAUGACAUUUUAUUGGAUGAACAGUUUCUGUCUAUUUAAUAGGACUGGACAAGGCAAGAUGAGAAGAGAUUAUGACAAUUUGUGUCAUAUUUAUAUUUGCAUUUGUAUUAUAAUAUUUAUUACAGUUUUUUUAAAUAAUGCAUUGUAUGUGUUGUUGUGCAAAUGUUGUUACUCCUUUCAACUUGUUUUUAAUCAUGAUCGUUAGUACAUGUACAUGUAGUUUGAAAGAACGAGAUAAAACAUCGUUCUUUGAUGAAGUACUGUGUGAUACUUACAAAGUAUGAUGCUUAAAAAUCAUUUGUUAUCCUCUCCUCCCUUCCCAGCACACAGAAAAAUGAAUGUCGCUCCUACAGAGACAUAUAACUUACUUAUUAACCCUUUUUAUUCAUUUUUAUAAAUAAAAAAAGCAGAUAUUUUGAAAAAUGAUUUAGAUCUCAACUCGAAAUUCAAUCUAACUUUAAUUCUAUGGCUAUAGAAUUAGAGAGUAGUGUAUUGUCCUAUGGCAAUAUAUGGAAUAUCAACUCGUCAUAUAAAAACGAUAAACCGUUACUGUAUGUUUAAAGGAGUUAAAGCCUGAUUCUGUGAUACAUGUGUACAUGUUAAUACAGUUUUUACAAAAAACAGGUUUUUUUUUAAAUUUGAAAACAGUUUUAGGCAUUUCAAAGAGAAGAAUUAUCAACUUAUUCAAUUCUAAAAGCAACAAUAACUUUUGAUUUUACAAUAACAAAGAAUUAUAGAAAGUUGUAACGUUAAAAAAUACAGAAAGUGAAGAAUUUAAAAUAAAUAGUGAAC